rnacentral:tRNA from 1 species
AUUAGGUGGUGUUUUUCUCUAGA